CCUACGGGAGGCUGCAGUAGGGAAUAUUGCUCAAUGGGGGAAACCCUGAAGCAGCAACGCCGCGUGGAGGAUGAAGGUUUUCGGAUUGUAAACUCCUUUUGAUAGAGAAGAUAAUGACGGUAUCUAACGAAUAAGCACCGGCUAACACCGUGCCAGUAGCCGCGGUAAUACGGAGGGUGCAAGCGUUACUCGGAAUGACUGGGCGUAAAGAGGGCGUGGGCGGGAUAGCAAGUCUGAUGUGAAAUCGUAUGGCUUAACCAUAGAACUGCGUUUGAAACUGUGAUGCUAGAGUAUGGGAGAGGUAGGUGGAAGUCUUGGUGUAGGGGUAAAAUCCGUAGAGAUCAAGAGGAAUACUCAUUGCGAAGGCGGCCUGCUAGAACAUAACUGACGCUGAUGCGCGAAAGCGUGGGGAGCAAACAGGAUUAGAUACCCGUGUAGUC
rnacentral:rRNA from 1 species